rnacentral:rRNA from 1 species
CUGCAGUUAAAAAGCUCGUAGUUGAAUUUCUGGUACGAUGUGCCUGGUCCACGGUCGCAAGGCCGCGCGUGUCGGAGUACGUCUGCCAUCCUUCUAGUUAACUGGCUAUACUUAACUGUGUGGUCAGCAACCUAGAUCUUUUACUUUGAAAAAAAUUAGAGUGUUUAAAGCAGGCUCGCGCUGUGAAUACAUUAGCAUGGAAUAAUAAUUUAGGACUUUGCUUCUAUUUUAUUGGUUUCUAGGGGUAAAGUAAUGAUUGAUAGGGAUAGUUGGGGGUGCUAGUAUUCAUCGGCCAGAGGUGAAAUUCUUGGAUUCGAUGAAGACUAACUUAUGCGAAAGCAUUCACCAAGGAUGUCUUCUUUAAUCAAGAACGAAAGUUGGGGGAUCGAAGACGACCAGAUACCGUCGUAGUCUCAACCAUAAACUGUACCGACUAGGGAUUAGUGGAAGUUGCUAUAUCGACUCCAUUAGCACCUUAUGAGAAAUCAGAAGUCUUUGGGUUCUGGGGGGAGUAUGGUCGCAAGGCUGAAACUUAAAGGAAUUGACGGAAGGGCACCACCAGGAGUGGAGCCUGCGGCUUAAUUUGACCCAACACGGGGAAACUUACCAGGUCCGGACAUAGUGAGGAUUGACAGAUUGAAGUUCUUUCUUGAUUCUAUGGGUGGUGGUGCAUGGCCGUUCUUAGUUGGUGGAGUGAUUUGUCUGGUUAAUUCCGCUAACGAACGAGACCUCGACCUGCUAAAUAGUAUGACGUAGGCUCUGUCUAUGGACAUGACUUCUUAGAGGGACUGUCGGUUUUUAGCCGAAGGAAGUUCGAGGCAAUAACAGGUCUGUGAUGCCCUUAGAUGUUCUGGGCCGCACGCGCGCUACACUGAUACGUGCAUCGAGCUUACAACCUUGGCUGGGAGGCCUGGGUAAUCUUUGAAAAGCGUAUCGUGCUGGGGAUAGAUUAUUGUAAUUAUUAAUCUUCAACGAGGAAUUCCUAGUAAGCGCGAGUCAUCAACUCGCACUGAUUACGUCCCUGCCCUUUGUACACACCGCCCGUCGCUGCUACCGAUUGAAUGCAUUAGUGAGCUUGAGGGAUCGUUUAGCUUGAGGGUCAAACUUCGAGUUAAGUGAGAACUCACGCAAACUUGCGCAUUUAGAGGAAGCAAAAGUCGUAACAAGGUUUCCGUAGGUGAACCUGCGGAAG